rnacentral:lncRNA from 1 species
GGGUGGAGAUCCGUAUUCUGUACUUGUAAGGGAUUCAUUUUCCACAUGCUCGAGUCCCCACCAACUUGAUCUUAUCUUCAGCAGCCUUCACCACCGCCUUCUCCAGCUGAAGACUCACCUCAAGCUAGGUGAUCCUUAUCUGAUGUGACUUCACAAGCCCAUGCUCUAAGGCCAAAAAGCCCUCAAGCUAUGUGAUUCGCUCCUUUGCAGCCAGAAGCUCGAACCUUGCCUGAGAUGAAUCAUCCUCUGAGGCCUUCUUCUGAGCCUUUGCAUCCUAGAGAUCUCCUUCGAGCUUUCUUUUGACUUGGUUGAGGUUGACGGUCGCC